rnacentral:lncRNA from 1 species
AAGAUCAAAUCCACUUUAUUGGAUGAAUUUUCAGCAGUGCAAUGCUGUUCUUUUUAAUGAGAAGAUUGACAAGUCUUACACAGGGAGGAAGAGAUUUGACAUAGGAGUUUAAGGAGAUGUGUUUAGCAAAAACCAAGUUGAGCAGUAUAAGUGGCUUCUUCCCCAAAGCAAUAAUUCCCCAUCUAAUCUCUUUUCACAGCUCAUUAAUUCCCUAAGAAUCAGAAAAAGGUGUUUCCCAAUUGUCCUGCCGUGGGAGAACAUUGCUGGUGGAUGGAAGCUGACGUCCACAGCACAGCACACAGGGGCGGCCAGGAGAGCUUGUUCAACCUGACCUGGGAACGGGCGUCUUUGGGCAAGGCCAUGGAGACCUAGCAGGUGUCGGAUGGAUGCUGCAAGCAUGAGUGGAGGGGACUUAUCUUCUUUUGAGCUCCUGGAGGCUUCACCCUUACAGGGGACGGUUCCAGAGCACACAGAAGUUGAAGCAGGAAGUUAGCUCCCAAGGCUUUAGGGUCUGACCGAUGAGAAUGUUCUUUGGGAUUUUGGAAAUGCUGAGGCUUGUGAGUAGCCACCUCGCAGCCAGCCUGGCUCCCCUCUCUGUGACCCAUCAGAGGUGAUAUGUGGGCUAAGAACCGUGUGGCUAACGGCUG